rnacentral:rRNA from 1 species
UGGGGCAUAUUGGACAAUGGGGGCAACCCUGAUCCAGCCAUGCCGCGUGCGUGAAGAAGGCCUUAGGGUUGUGAAGCGCUUUCAGCGGGGACGAUGAUGACGGUACCCGCAGAAGAAGCCCCGGCUAACUCCGUGCCAGCAGCCGCGGUAAUACGGAGGGGGCAAGCGUUGUUCGGAAUUACAGGGCGUAAAGGGCGCGUAGGCGGCAUAUCAAGUCAGAGGUGAAAGCCCCGGGCUCAACCUGGGAAUUGCCUUUGAAACUGAUAAGCGAGAGUCCGGAAGAGGAUAGCGGAAUUCCCAGUGUAGAGGUGAAAUUCGUAGAGAUUGGGAAGAACACCAGUGGCGAAGGCGGCUAUCUGGUCCGGUACUGACGCUGAGGCGCGAAAGCGUGGGGAGCAAACAGGAUUAGAUACCCCCGUAGUCC